AACGAACGCUGGCGGCAUGCCUAACACAUGCAAGUCGAACGAGAUCUUCGGAUCUAGUGGCGCACGGGUGCGUAACGCGUGGGAAUCUGCCCUUGGGUUCGGAAUAACAGUGAGAAAUUACUGCCAAUACCGGAUGAUGUCUUCGGACCAAAGAUUUAUCGCCCAGGGAUGAGCCCGCGUAGGAUUAGGUAGUUGGUGGGGUAAUGGCCUACCAAGCCGACGAUCCUUAGCUGGUCUGAGAGGAUGAUCAGCCACACUGGGACUGAGACACGGCCCAGACUCCUACGGGAGGCAGCAGUGGGGAAUAUUGGACAAUGGGCGCAAGCCUGAUCCAGCAAUGCCGCGUGAGUGAUGAAGGCCUUAGGGUUGUAAAGCUCUUUUACCAGGGAUGAUAAUGACAGUACCUGGAGAAUAAGCUCCGGCUAACUCCGUGCCAGCCGCCGCCGUAAUAC
rnacentral:rRNA from 1 species